AUCAGUGUCCCUCUCAACUCUCAACUACUACCAGAUUUUCCCACAAUUUCAUACUGUCUCCGAAAUCAUCACCAGCAGAGACAACAAACAGAACCACCCUUUUGCAAAAAAAAAAAAAAAAAACAGAAACACUAUGAUUCAAGUAGCAAUGUUGAAUCUCCCCAGCCGAAAAAUCAAACCCCAGGUAGCCAUCUCUGCCAAUCAAACCCAUUUGCAAAGAACCCUCGCUUCUUGUAUCAAACCAGCCUUCAAGAUCUCUCACCGUCUCUUUUCUCUCUUUAUUCUCCUCAGCCCAAACAACACUUCUCUCUCUCUUUUUCUUUCUCGCUCAGAUCCUUAAGCUAUGUGGCCAAGAAAGAAAAUAAAUCCCAGGCAUUGAGUCAAAGAGAGUUCAUAGGUGCCGAUUUGCGCACAAACUGAUCAUAUGUUGGAAUUGGGGGACUAGGAAAAAUAAGGGUCUUGAGUUAUUAAACAUGUGGCAUGGUAAUACUAAGGGGAAUGUGAGAAAUCUUUUCUCGGAAGCAAUAAGUGACUGCAAGAAGUAUGGAGAUAGCAGUCCACUCCAUACAAUGUUCUCUGAUGAAUUAGAUUCAAUAGCAAGGAUUGAAACUUAUAGAUCCUGCUCUUCUCAGGUAAUAUUCUCUCCCUCCCCUUCUUUCUCUCUUUGAUGCACCAACACAUCUACUCAUCCUUAUAGUGUUCAAUUCAUAGACUGGGUCGAUUAGAGCUUCUUAUUGAGAUAGGCGCUCCUGAUGAAGCAGGACGUGUUCAGAUUUUAAAAGUUCACACUAAAAUGUUAUUAGAUAGCUCUUUACUUGAGUUGGACGUGAAUGCAUAGUUUAUGAAGUGAAGCACUUUACAGCCAACAAUAAUCAAUCAAGUUAUUGGAGUUAGUCACGUAUAGAGAUCCAUACAAAAGAGUUAGUCACAGAUUGGAUAUUUGUGCAAAGUGAAGAAGUCUAUUACAUAAUCAAGUCCAAUUGGGUAUAAGAGUGAAGGUUUAACUGUAGGUUGAUAUUUUGGGAUAGACUAUGAUAGUAGUAAGAUUCUUCAUAUUUGUAACCACUUGAUUAUUGAUUAGUGGAUUCUGGGGAGUGGUGGCUUAAAAUUCACUCGGUAGAAUUUUUGCCUUGCGAGAAGUUUUUCCCAUUUGUUAACAAAUUACCAUAUCAAUUU